AUUUACUAGUGAGGCAAAAAGUCUGAUAACAGAUUUAGAUCAAGAGACAAUUUAAGAAUUGGAUAAUCCAACAAAAGGUGAUAAAAUUACUGUUUUUAAAUAAGCUUACCUUGAAGAUUUAUAUUUCUCUUCAUAUAGUCAAUUGAAUUUUUGUAAUAAAAAUGACACAAAUAUCAAAUUCUAUUCCUGUGGAAUUGAAGUGUACGAGGAUGGUCCCAGGAUAGAUGACUUAGUUCAGGUAAUGAAGUCUGCACUUUGUAAAUUAUUUGAACUGAAUCCAAUGGUCUCCUGAUGGCACUAACGCACUAAUAGUUUUUUUAUCCAGUUUUGGGGGUAUCCGAUUACGAUUUCAAACGAUUACGAUUGAAAAAGAAACGAAGAAGACAUCACGUGUAUCAAAUUCGCUACUUUAUUUUCAAAAUAUAAAGAAAAAUAUUUAGAUUGUUAUAUGUAAAAGCAUUAUUGUGCAUCAGUCGCUUGUCGUAGCACUAAGAAUGCAAGAAUCUAUGGUGAUAGACACGGAAGAUCGACGGUAGACAUGACCAUCAGGAGAGCACUGAAUAAGGCCUUAUACUUCCCCUCUGCUUAUCAUGCACUAGAUAGGUAACCUUUCUGGUUAUUAUUAAUCGUUAUAUAGUCAGAGCAAGAGCAUUUUACACAUUUAGUUUUAUGAUGAAUUAGAUAUUCUAGUCAUUGCUUUGUGAAUAACAAGUCUGUUCUGCACUUGAUGCUUUUUGAUUCACAUAAUAGUGCCUAUUUUUUUCAUACUUGUAUCAGUAGUAUCUCUAUUGGAAAACUGGUUAGAACCUGGAGCUCCGAUUUAUGUCAAAAUAAUUAGAUAAAUAGAUUUUGUGGAGGUGUUUGGUGACUUGUUCCACUGCAACUUUUACAGAUCUAUUGUGGUUCUAUUAAUCUAUAUUCUCGAGUCUUAUUCUUCUUUUGAAGCUUAUCAGCCUUGAGACUAAACCUUUUCAUGUAGCUGCUUGUCAGUGAUUUUUGUAAACCUAGCACUGAGAACUGCACAUUUGAUAAACUGUCAUGGUAAUAGUUUCUUCCACUAAUCGACCCACAUAAUCUACAUAAAGAAAUUAAGGACUUAGUUAUUGAUUUUGCAGAAGGGUUUAAAAUAACAAAUAUUUUAAUAAAUUCAUUGUAAGUAUAUUUUUAGCUCUAAUGAAUGUACUUACGGGAUGUUCCAAGUUGACUACCCUAAUAGUGCGUUGUAGUCGUGCAGUAACUGAUGAAGUUGUGGAUCACCUAGUGAAUAAUUGCCCUCGUUUGUCGAAAAUAGAUAUUAGCGGAUGCAAAAAUGUAACUCCUGAAGGCUUCGCACACCUUGAAAGAUUAGUAGGAAUACAAUACCUGUAUUUGAAUACGACAUCACUCAACAACGACGCAUUAACUCGUAUUGUAUUCGGACCCAGCGGACCACAUAUAAUUGAAUUGUUCAUUGAUCAGACACGUGUUGAUGUUAAAGGCGUGAGGGCGGUAUAUCAGCGUUGUUGCAGCCUUCAUAUUUUAAUAUAUUACAACCCACAAGGCCAAGAUGAUUUGGCGUACCUAAUGUCUUGCAAAGAAUUGGAUUUAAAAAAUAAACUUGGAAAAGUUACAAAAGUACACACUGUGGGGAAUAGCGUUUUGUAAAUAGGAAGUUAAGAAAGCGCUUAAUCCUUCACUUUAAUUGUACUGGAAAUGUAUUUACACAAUUCGCAUUCCAAAUAUUAGAAAUAAUGAAAAAAAGGAUAAAAACGGAGAUUAAACUAAUUUAAACCAAAAAUAAAGAAGAUUGUUCUAUUAUAUAGAUCACAGUUAAACA